rnacentral:rRNA from 1 species
ACCCGCUGAAUUUAAGCAUAUCACUAAGCGGAGGAAAAGAAACUAACCAGGAUUCCCCUAGUAACGGCGAGUGAAGAGGGAGAAGCCCAGCACCGAAGCCUGCGGUAGCUUUACUGCUAGGCAAUGUGGUGUUUGGGUCGGCCCGCGGGAUUGCCACUCCAUUCGAAGUCCAGCAUUGAGUAUGGUACCCUGGAUUUGGCCCAUAGAGGGUGAAAGGCCCGUGCGAAUGGAUGUUUCAGACAUGAAAGGCAGUUCACCAGGUCGGCCUUAGAGUCGGGUUGUUUGAGAAUGCAGCCCAAAGUGGGUGGUAAACUCCAUCCAAGGCUAAAUACUGGCACGAGUCCGAUAGCGAACAAGUACCGUGAGGGAAAGUUGAAAAGUACUCUGAAGAGAGAGUAAACAGUACGUGAAACCGCAUAAAGGUAAACGGGUGGCGUCAAGCUGCAAGCCUGGAGGAUUCAGCUGGUCAUUGUGGAGUGUAUACGUCCUGUGUAUCGCAGUCGGUGGUAGUGAGUAGUCUGCUGGUAAACGGCGGGCCUGGUCGCAAGACCAGGAUGUGCGUUCCACGUGUUCGGUGGUGUACGCUGCUCAACUAUUGGACUGGAUGGCCAGUGCACUUCCUCCAUUAAGGUGAACACCACGACCGGUGGUACUGCCAGUCUGGUGUAGCCAAGUUGUGUCUAUUUGGGCAUUCGUGUUCAUUAGGUGCAAUCACAGGCAGAUUCGGUGGACGGUGAGUAGACUUCGGUUUGCUCAUGUUAUCGGCCACUGGCUGUCAGCGGGUCUGUCCAUUGGGGUUGCAGUCCUCGGUGGGUGGCCUGGUGGGCUACACUGGUAAGAAUAACUGUGCAGGGCACCGGAGUGAUCGGUCUCUAAUCCGGUUGGCGCACGCGCUGCAAGUGUGUGUAGAGGUGCCAUUGCGGCCUGUCGUUGGUUGGGUCUGAUUGCCGUGUCGCCUGCGAAAAGUAGGUCCGGUAGUGGCUCGGCUACGGUCGGUGCAUGUAGUGGUAUUUCUCUGUCAGUCGGUGUGGACCUAACAGUCUGUGGUGUAGUGGUAGACGAGCUACCCGACCCGUCUUGAAACACGGACCAAGGAGUUUAACAUACACGCGAGUCAUUGGGGUCUUCCGAAACCCACAGGCGCAAUGAAAGUGAAGCCUUCUCUGAAGGUGUGGUGAGAUCCUGCUGUUACUCGCAUCUGCACUUGUGUAGCUUGUCGGCACAGGGCGCAAAGAGCGGUAGGCGCAUCACCGGCCCGUCUCAUGAUGUGGUCAUUGGUCGGUUGCUGUGGUUGUAGUUUCGGCUGUGGCUGCAGUAGCUCCAGUGCGUCAUCGGGGCGGAGCAUGAGCGUGUAUGUUGAGACCCGAAAGAUGGUGAACUAUGCUUGCGUAGGUUGAAGCCAGAGGAAACUCUGGUGGAGGACCGAAGCGAUUCUGACGUGCAAAUCGAUCGUCAAACGUGAGUAUAGGGGCGAAAGACUAAUCGAACCAUCUAGUAGCUGGUUCCCUCCGAAGUUUCCCUCAGGAUAGC